rnacentral:lncRNA from 1 species
UUUAUUCCUAUUAGGAUAGAUUUCUCCCUUCAGAAGUUGGCUAAGUUAUAUGUUUCAAAGAUAGUGAGACCUCAUAGGGUUCCAGUCUCGAUUAUUUCUGAUGAAGAUCCUCACUUCACUUCUCAAUUUUGAAGGAAACUCCAUGAGUCUCUGGGUUCGAGGUUAGACUUUAGUACUACAUUCCAUCCUCAAACAGAUGGUCAAUUUGAGAUGAUGAUUCAGAUACUGAAUGAUAUGCUUUAGAGUUGUGUGAUCGAUUUUCGAGGUAGUUGAGAGAAUUUUCUGCAGUUGGCUAAGUUCACCUACAAUAAUAGUUUCCAGUCUAGUAUUCAGAUGGCACCUUUCGAGGCUUUAUAUGACCAUAAGUGUCGUAUUCUGUUGUGUUAGACUAAGUUGGGUAAGCAACAAGUUUUGGGUUCUAAGUUGGUUUCUGAUACUUAGGAUAAAGUUAGACUGAUUUGGGAUUUUCUUAAGGUGGUGUAGUCAACCAAUUUUGCCCGGGCCCAUUUAAUUUAUUUGCAAAUAAAUAAACCCAAAUAAAUGAAUAAGGUCCAAGACUAAAAAAGUCCAUUUACAAUUUUCAAAAUACAAAAAUUACCAAAAUAACCCAUGACCCAAAACCCAAUUCUAAUAAACCCGUAUCUUAAAUUUAGCCCAAAUAAAAAUAAUAGCCUAAACAAGUACCCAAAGUUCCUUAGCCCAACAACAUUUUUGACCCAAUUGAGCAGACACCCAAACUAUACACGAAUGGCCCAAAAGGCCCAACUGCUUGAAAAUGCCAGAAACCUAAGGGUUUCUAGAACACACCAGUGCUGCAAUCGAACUCACGCACGGCUUUCAUGAGUGGCUUUCUCCGUACGACCGUUGCUCCAUACCUACAAAAGAAUAUACGAGAAGAAGCAACAACGGCAUGUACAGCCAAAUGACAGAGGGAAAAUGUAUUUUUAUUUUUCCAUUUAUUCUAUAAAUUUGGCUAUAAAAAGCCAUUAUUUGUACCUUGAUUUUUUACGCAUAUAAUAUCUGUACACACGCAUAGAGAAUAGAAAAAAGCGAUUUAAGAUUAAAAGAGGUGAUUUCAUAUUUUUCUUUUUCUCUUCUGAUUUUUUUUGUUUUUUUCCUUUUCCCUUUAUUUUCUUAUUAGUUUGCUCAUUUUUUUUAUUAUGCGACUUAAGGCCGAUGAAAGCCCUAAAUCUGCCAUGCGAAUAUAAGGGCGAGAGGUCACAUAACAGUGAAAAUUUAUUUACUCUACAAAUCUGUUUUCAUUUUUUUUCCUUUAAAAAAUAACAUGAGAUUUGAAAGCUCCAUUCAAAUAAAGAAGAAAGGAGGGACAAUACUUACCGAAUCCUUUUAGAUCUGGUCGAGCUCCUUUAACAGCAAGAUUGGGCACAUCUCGCUUACUGGUAAUCACCCAAAAUCAUGGUAGUUUGGCAGUGAAGUGAAAGAAACCCUAAAGAAUUGAUUUUAAAGGCUGAAAUUUCUUUUGAUCUAAGUGGAGGCUGCGUUUGAGGAAUGAAAUAGAAGUGGAUAGGUCUUAAAUGACCAAUUAACAAUGCGGCGCUGUUUAAUGGUGUAAAGACCCGCGCGUCAACCCGUUUUGGCAGGCCGGGUAUGCGCAUGGUUGGUGUGAAUGGGGAAAUUUGUCGACAAAUCCCUCCCCUUGCACACAGCCUUCAAUUUUCGCCUGAUUUGCCUACUUUAUGUUUUAAAAUUGACCUGUUAGUUUGUGUAUGGUUUCAAUUGGAUCCGCGGUUCAUUGCUGCAUUAUGAGCAUGGGAUAUUUUCAAUAAUAGUCCUCACAUGUUUGUGCACAUGGCACAUUGACCCAAUUUUGCAAUUGUUUUAUUUGUAAAUGGUUUCUCUGGUUUUAAUUUUGUCACAACUAAGUCUUAUCAUCAUUAUUUUAUUUACUGCAUAUACAUCUUAGUUUUACAUGAUUAAUCAUUGGUUGUGAUAUUUUGUAUUAUUUUGAUAGCCGAAUUUUGUAAUCUUUUCUGUUUUUAUUCUAUUAUUUUAAUAAUUGUACUAUUUGUAAUAUAAUUUAUUUUAGUCUGUGUAUGCUAUUAGUUUCAUGAUAUUUUGUAAUUUCUCUUGGAUUCAUCCACAUAUUUAAAUGUUUAUUAAGUAUAUUUGGUAUUUAUGUUUAAUCUAGUAUAUAUAGCUUUCUAAUAAAUUUGUAUUUAAUUGUUUUUUAGUUUUAGUAAACGUAUAAUAUACAAUAAAAAUUAAGUUAAUUUUAAAAUUCAUAUUUUUUUAUGUUACUUCAACAUUCAACUAUUUCUAAAAUUUCUUUGUAUGUGUAUCUCACGGUAAAAUUAAGUUAAUUUUAUAAUCCAAAUUUUAAUUCCAUGUUAUUUAAAUAUACAAUUAUUUCUAAAGUGUCUUCACAUGUAUAACACAUAUUAAAUUAUUUUUACUAUGAUACAUAUUAUUAUUCUC